GCCCAACCCAUAGCUUAACCCCCACCCCAAAUACCCGCCCCCACCAAACAAACCAUUUGCCACGCCCAGUAUAUGAGAUAGAACUGCACCAUUAAACGCUAUAGAGACCUGCACCGCAAGGUAAACGUGAAAUAAUACAAAAAGCACAAAAAGCACAAAAUAGCAGGACUACCACCCCGUACCUUUUGCAUCAUGGUUUAACAAGCAUCAGGCAGAUAUGGAGCCCCCACACCUGCCACCCCGAAACCGGACGAGCUACCCCAGAGCAAACUUUAGGUUCAACCCGUCUCUGUGGCAAAAGAGUGGGAAGACUUUGGGGUAGAGGUGAAACGCCUACCGAGCCCGGAGAUAGCUGGUUGCUCAAUAAAUGGGUCCAAGCCCAGCUCUAGCUAAACCCACCCCAAACCCAACUAGCCAUGUUACACUAGAAGUCAGACAAUUAGGGUACAACUUAAUUGUAACUGGAGACAACCAAUACCAGAGGGAAAUAAACCCUAUCACCACAUGUAGGCCUCAAAGCAGCCACCAAUAACUAAUGCGUUAAAGCAACCAUAACCUAAUCCCACUAGCCAACCCAACCCCCUGCACCCUAACCGAGCCACCCCAUCAACUUUAAUGGGGGAGAUACUGUUAAAACUAGUAAUAAGAGAAAACUCUCGCCAAUGCCCUCGUAAGUCAGCACAGAUGUACUACUGACAAUUAACAAACCCACACCCUCUGUUACCCCGACACAGGAGCAUACCUUAGCGACAGGAUCAAAAUCAUAUAAGGAACUCGGCUAAUGAGCCCCAACUGUUUACCAAAAACAUAGCCCCUAGCACAUACAAGUAUUAGGGGUGUCGCCUGCCCAGUGAAACCAGCUUUUUAACGGCCGCGGUAUCCUAACCGUGCAAAGGUAGCGUAAUCACUCGUCCCCUAAAUAGGGACCAGUAUGAAUGGCUAAAUGAGGGCCCAACUGUCUCAUAUGACCCCCCAAUGAAACUGAUCUCUCAGUACAAAAGCUGAGAUAACACCACAAGACGAGAAGACCCUGCGGAACUUUAACUAACAUAUCAACCCAACCCACUCAACAGCCCACCAAGGUUGACACACCUCUUGAUCCAUUGAUAGAAGUUUAAGUUGGGGCGACUGCGGAGGAAAAAAAACCCUCCACGCACCAAAUCCAAGGCCCACACGCCAAGGGAACACACUAUAACAGACCCAGUAGUACUGAUCAACGAACCAAGCUACCCCAGGGAUAACAGCGCCAUCCUCUUUCAGAGUCCCCAUCGACAAGAGGGUUUACGACCUCGAUGUUGGAUCAGGGCCCCCCAGUAGUGCAGCCGCUACUAACGGUUCGUUUGUUCAACGAUUAAUGCCCUACGUGAUCUGAGUUCAGACCGGAGUAAUCCAGGUCGGUUUCUAUCUGUGCCAAAUCUUCCCCAGUACGAAAGGACCGAGAAGACAGCACCCAUGCCAGCAGCACGUGCUGAUUUAAGCACUGAAUUAAGCUCAAGUGCCCACAAACCCACCCAGCCCCAAGAUAAGGGGCUU
rnacentral:rRNA from 1 species